UACAGAGGUCUCAAGCGUUGUUCGGAUUCAUUGGGCGUAAAGGGUGCGUAGGUGGCGCCGUAAGUCGGGGUGUGAAAUUUCGGAGCUUAACUCCGAAACUGCAUUCGAUACUGCGGUGCUUGAGGACUGGAGAGGAGACUGGAAUUCAUGGCGUAGCAGUGAAAUGCGUAGAGAUCAUGAGGAAGACCAGUGGCGAAGGCGGGUCUCUGGACAGUUCCUGACACUGAGGCACGAAGGCCAGGGGAGCAAACGGG
rnacentral:rRNA from 1 species